UUGCCGAUGAUGGUCACGAAUUUCUUCACCUGAACAAGCCGUGUGGUCGCCUUGUAUCUGAGGCAAA